CAUUAGAUGGCUGAAAGUAAGUAACGGUCUCUUAAACCGCCCUAUAGUAUUUAACAACUACUUCUAAUGA
rnacentral:tRNA from 1 species